AGCGAACGCUGGCGGCAGGCUUAACACAUGCAAGUCGAACGGGCGUAGCAAUACGUCAGUGGCAGACGGGUGAGUAACGCGUGGGAACGUACCUUUGGUUCGGAACAACACAGGGAAACUUGUGCUAAUACCGGAUAAGCCCUUACGGGGAAAGAUUUAUCGCCGAAAGAUCGGCCCGCGUCUGAUUAGCUAGUUGGUGAGGUAACGGCUCACCAAGGCGACGAUCAGUAGCUGGUCUGAGAGGAUGAUCAGCCACAUUGGGACUGAGACACGGCCCAAACUCCUACGGGAGGCAGCAGUGGGGAAUAUUGGACAAUGGGCGCAAGCCUGAUCCAGCCAUGCCGCGUGAGUGAUGAAGGCCCUAGGGUUGUAAAGCUCUUUUGUGCGGGAAGAUAAUGACGGUACCGCAAGAAUAAGCCCCGGCUAACUCCGUG
rnacentral:rRNA from 1 species